GUCUAUCGCCGUACCCGCCUGAAUGCACCCGAUCUUGUCUGAUCUCGAAAGAUAAGUAGAGUUGGGCUGGGUUAGUACUUGGAUGGGAGAACUCUCAAUCAACCUCUCGUGGUGCAGAGA
rnacentral:rRNA from 1 species